rnacentral:rRNA from 1 species
CCUACGGGAGGCAGCAGUGAGGGAUAUUGCGCAAUGGGCGAAAGCCUGACGCAGCGACGCCGCGUGGGCGAGGAAGGCCUUCGGGUUGUAAAGCCCCUUUGGCAGGGGACGAGAAAGGACGGUACCCUGAGAACAAGCCUCGGCUAACUACGUGCCAGCAGCCGCGGUAAUACGUAGGAGGCGAGCGUUGUCCGGAUUGACUGGGCGUAAAGCGCGUGUAGGCGGUCUUUUACGUCGGGUGUUUAAGGCCCGGGCUCAACCAGGGAAGAGCGCCCGAAACGGGAAGGCUGGAGGGCAGUAGAGGAAAGUGGAAUUCCCGGAGGAGCGGUGAAAUGCGUAGAUACCGGGAGGAACACCAUGGGCGAAGGCGGCUUUCUGGGCUGACCCUGACGCUGAGACGCGAAAGCCGGGGGAGCAAACCGGAUUAGAUACCCGGGUAGU